CUAAUUGUAUUUCUGGGCCCCUCUCUGCAAAAGAUGUAAAGAUCUAUAGAUAAGAAACAACGAGAAGUUUAUGCGAAGAGGUGCUGUUUUACAUGACUUCAUGAUACAGCUCUAGCAGAGCCAGCUGCCUUCUGCCGGGAAGCAGGUGAUAUCCAUCAUGCUUAACACCAUUGCUUUGGAGAAACACAGGGAUCCUUGGUGCCCACAAUAUAACUGUUAGGCCACAGAAGAGAGAUCUGAUGUACAUCUUGUGGUGACAAGAGACACAAGAAGAAUUGAUGUAGAGCACGCAACUUUGCCAAGACAGAGAAAACUGGUGGAAAGCAGCUAUUUCACAUACGAAGGAGGGACUCAGUAUUUUCUUAGAAAGGUAACUUAGCUCUUGAGGUAAGUUUUCGUUUUCUCAGUGUUGAAUUCUACGUUCUUCCUCAGUCAUCUUCCAACUCAUAACUACUUCAGUUUCCUAUUCAUUGCUCUGAAUGAUGUGGACAUUUAAUACCUACUGUGGUGCUACAGCACUGCUUUGUUGUGAUGUUGCAAGCUCCAUUCUUUCAGUGUGGGAUUAAAAGGGCAAAUAAGCAAAGAAGUUACCAUUGCAGUAUAAGUGCAACUGUAGUUACUACUUCCACCCACCAGGAUAAUAUCAGUAGGAAAUUAACAUCCUUAGGAAGAUCAGACAGAAUAUAUCUAUCCUGUCUAUAUUGCUAGAGUGGACAAGGAAGAAAGUUGUACUGUGUUUGAACUACAUUUUCAGUACUCAUUAAUUCUUCUCAUUAGUGCAUCAAUGGUAGAUAAAGCUACUGGAAGCUACCACUCAUUCUCCAAGAAAUGUAUCCUGCAAAGCCAGCAAAUGGGGGCAAAUUAUUUGCUGAAGCAACUGCCUGUUGAAGAUGCUUUGUUCCAGCACUGUGAAAGUUGAUAUAAAUGUAUGGAUAAAAGUAAACUAAACUGUUCCAUAGAUGUAAAUAGGUGUAUAAUAACGUAUAUAUGGUUUGUUUGCAGUGUCUUCUUGGCAGGUAAUCUGCAGCUAGCAGAUUUAGUCAGCUGCUAAAUGUUCAUGGAAAUAUGAUUUGAAUUGCUUUCCACACUGCUGGUGAGUGGCCAGGAAAAGAAAACAAUUCAUAUCUAAUAUAAUCAAUGGAUUCAGCUCCUGUAAAAAAAGAUACAGAAAAACUUGUUGAUCUAUAUACAUUUUUUUGAUUUUAAUUUUCAGAAAAAGAGGUGAAUAAUAAUUAUUAUCUCUUACACAAAUCAUACAUCUUAAAGAAUAGGAUGGGUUCUACAGAAAAUCUGAAAUAUGAAUGAU